GCCGAGGCGAGUUGAGUACUCGAAUAUUGAAUCCCUAACUCGGUACAAAAUAAAACUCAGAACCAAGCUCCUAGCUCUGGGCCUCUGCGUGACAAUGGAGCCAGAAAUUCAGCUGAAAAUUCAGGAAGCAGUAUUCGACAUACUAAAGAAAGCUGACAUGGACGAGAUGACUGAGUUCAAGGUCCGUGUCGCGGCUUCGGAAAGACUCGGUAUCGACCUAUCUGAUAUCCACUGCAAGAGAUUCAUCAGAGGCUUGGUUGAAUCCUUUUUGCUCUCUACAAUGGAGGUAGGUGCCGAGGACGGUAAAGAGGCUGACGCCAUGGAUGGAGUUCAAGUGAAAACCCGAGAAAUGGCACGAGAAGGACAGGAGGCAAUGCAUGAGAAGGAAUUUGAUGGCAUGGGAAAUCACAUUAUUUGUAAGCUAUCGAAGAAAAGGAACGUGGUGAUUCAGGACUUUAAAGGGAAAUCUUCUGUAUGGAUCAGGGAAUUUUAUCAUAAAGAUGGAAGACAGGUUCCUACUAAUAAAGGAAUUAGCUUGACAGCUGAACAAUGGUCAGCCUUUAGGAAGAGUGUCCCUUUAAUAGAAGAAGCCAUUAUGAAGAUGACAUCCAAUUUAAGACUUAAUGGAGAAGCCUCUAAUUUGGCAACUGCUUCUAUGCCGCAUAAUGAACAGGUCUCUACAUCAGUGACUAAUUCUACUCCUAAUGAACAUAAUGGCCAAGUUACUGAUUCAGUGAUUGCAUCUUCUCUUCGUGAAUUUAUUCCUUUUGACAUCAAUCGUUUUGAUGGGAAGAAUUAUCAGUUCUGGGCACCCCAUAUGGAAUUGUUCCUAAAUAAAUUGAAGAUUGCAUAUGUCCUCACUGAUCCAUGCCCUACUGUUGCUAUAAGACCAGAAGCAAGUGCUGAAGAAAUUGCUCAAGCCAAAGCUGCUGAGAAGAAGUGGUUUAAUGAUGAUCAUCUGUGUCGCCACAACAUCUUGUCCUCUCUAUCUGAUGCUCUUUAUUAUCAAUAUUCAAAGAAGACUAAGAGUGCCAGAGAACUUUGGGAAGAACUAAAAUUAGUUUAUCUUUAUGAGGAGUUUGGAAAGAAGAGAUCUCAGGUUAGAAAUUACAUUGAAUUUCAGAUAGUAGAUGAAAGACCAGUUCUUGACCAAGUUCAAGAACUUAAUAACAUUGCAGAUUCUAUUGUUGCUUCUGGAAUGUUUUUUGAUGAGAAGUUUCAUGUUAGUGUCAUUAUUUCCAAGCUUCCCCCAUCAUGGAAAGGCUUCUGCAUCAAGUUAAUGUGUGAGGAAUAUCUGCCUUUUCGGAUGUUGAUGGACCAUGUAAGGAUGGAGGAAGAGUCUCGCAACCAAGAAAAGCAACUGGAGUCUUCCAAUUCUGCAUGCUUUAAUCAUGCCAAGAAUCUAGGACCAAGGAUGAAAGAUGGGAAGAAAGCGAGAUUGAAUGGGAAGAAACGAGAGACAGAUAGAUGACAAGGCUUUGGUCCGCUACUUUUGUGGGAAAAAGGGCAUAUUUCUAAGCACUGUCGUCACCGGAAGUUUGACGAGGAAGCUAAUGAGAAGCUUGACAAGGAGAAAUCAAAUAAGCGUGCAGUUACAGAAGUGAAGGCAGAGCACUGUUAAGUAGCCAAUCAAGGGAGUUAAUGCCUGUUUUGAAUUCUAACAAGGAAAUGCUCUAUUAUUGCUCAUUUGGUGGGUACAGAAGAAGAUUCACGAUACAUAUUUCACGGGAGACUUACCAAAGGCUUUGAGGUGUAUUCCUCCUCCCGUGAGUUUUGCAUUGAUUUGCAAGUUCCAGCUGUUUUUAGCCAUUCUUUGCAAAAGCCAACGGCUAUUGUAGAAUAUUAGAACCAGUAGCUGACGGGGCAAAACGGAUACAGUAUUUACAAGGUCCAUUAUGCAAUUGGCCUAUUGCUCUGACCAGUCACCCUUCUUAAAAUAGAUUUUCUCGUACUACCCGAGCACGGGCCUACUACAGUCUUGUGUUCUUUUUCCUCUCAAAUUUUGUCAGUUUUUCUGUUUGAAAUGCUGUACGCAUCUGUAUAUAAAAUCCUAUACUGAAUUUAGUCAUAGUCUUUAGAGGAGGAUAGAAGUAUAGCCACGGAUUACCAAUGUCAUGAGCACAUUGAUGCACAGUCUCUUUCAAUGGAUCUUGUAAUUUGCUUUGAAAAGUUAAAUGAUCUCUACUUUAGGCUGGUUAUCAGGCGACUGAAAAUUCCUGCGUCCCCACUAUGAAAAUCGGCCACACUGGCUACCGCAUAAGCUUGCGUAUAUCAAACUUGCUCACCAUCUAGUUUCAUCAUUUUCAUUUUCUGAGCUAAGCAAAUCUGCAUAAAAUAGCGGUAAAUUCUCUUACUAAACAACUAUUCCUUGACUCGAUAUUUCAGUUUAAAAGUUGAGCUGAGACCAUACACUUCAAGGGCCUCAAAAAUAUGUGUAAAAUUUCUUGUCAUCCCAAAAAUAAUGUGCACCAACUUUUCUUUACACUGGCCCAGCUUUACCGCGCCAAAAAAUAGGGUGUCCAGCAACAUUUUAUGUUUUCGACUCGCCCAUCAAUUGAGCCUUUGCUUUGUCCAACAAAGAUUGUUCUCUUCUCAUAUCCUCGGCAAUAUUACCUUGUUCCCAUUUCAGCAUCCUAACUGCAUCUUCAAUUUUAGUGUAGUCAGCAGGUAAGCAUCUGCUGGAAAUUACUGGGAAUUUCACCUCUACAUCUGUCCUAUUUCCAAGUGCAAAGACACCAUUUCUCUUGAUCAUCCCGCCAUCUAAAGAGAGGGCUCCAUGAGUUAUGCAUGGAAGAGCAAGUAGCAUUUCCGUCCUGGUUCUGUAUACUUGAAGGUGAGAAAAUAGGGCAUAGAAUAGUGUUUCUCUAAGACCAUGUCCUUUGGCAGUGAUACAAUACAAAUUCCCAUUAUCCAAAUUGAUCAUGUUAACUGCAAAAUCUAGAAAGCCAGUUGGGGAGCUCCCAUCUGGUAGCUUUGGCUUUGAAAGUACAAGCUUCUUUUGAGGAUCAUCAGCUAUAAAACCACCAAUAUAUGGCCUCAAAUCUUCUAGGCAAAUGACAAGAAAUCGGCCAUUAAUUUUCCUUCCAAUAGAAUAUGCAAGACCAUGUAGACCAGCACUGCUGUUUAUUUUGCCCUCCCCAUCAUACUUCUCCAAAGCCUUGACACCUUCAAAUGACCUACAAACUAGUGCCAGCAUGGUCUCCAGUCCCAAGUACUCCGAGAGAAGCCUAUUAAGAUUAUCAUUAUCAACUCUGGCAAGAGUUGCCACAACACCUAGCACAUCCUUAGUCAAUGGCAAAUUUGACAACAGAGUUGCAUGUUGAGUUUUUAUUUGGCACAACAUGGCAGCUGCUGUUAUCUCUUGCUUCAGAAUUUGUUCCGUUGUCUCUUCCUCAUUGCGAGAGCCACCAUUUUUAGUUGCUUUCUGAGGUGUGUUGGUGGAAUGAUACUUCCCAAGGGUCACUUGCAAGUCAAGUAUAGAUUCAUCUAAACGGUUUGCCUCUGACUUCAAAAAUUUUAGGUUGUCUUCAUGCCUUUUGAUAUCUUUCUUCAACAUCUCAAAAUCAACCUAAAUUGCCAUUAAAUGAACCAAUUAGUAACCUACACUUGCAGGCUGACUAGUGCACAAAUAAUUCCAGCAGAUAGCUAUGACAUAAUUCAUUAUCAGAUUAAAGCAGUGAUCAAAAACUUCACAAUCUCAUUCAGCAAGCACCUAGCAGGUAAUCCAAAAAUAAUACAUGUACCACGUGAUUGUUUCAUUUAUUAACAAUUUAUCAUUUGAACUUAAAGGCAUAUGGGAUAGAGUAUGAGGUAUCAAAUUGAUGAACAUACA
rnacentral:misc_RNA from 1 species